UGCACUUCAGCUCAUCAUUCAAGUGUCGACAGUCAAUGUUUGCCGUCGUUCGUUUCGGAUGUCCUGUCGUCAGCGUUCUCGUUAGUUGGUAACCAUAGUAACGUUCUGUUAUCGCCGUCGUGUAUCCUGUGCUGCCUAAGACAACGUCUCGUUCCCGACAGUUCAACAUUCAACCUCCGGUAAUAUUGUCUGUCUUUCAAGCUACGCCGUACAGCCCGCAGGGAUAAGCAUCGUUUGCACCGUUGCCAACAGUCUCGACCAAGCGUUGGAGCAAGGUUGCCGGCUGGUCUUCGCCGACUCUUCGCCAUCGAGUCAUUCGCGUUUCCGGUUCGACCUGCUUCUGAGUGCUGAAGAAAUCGCGAGAAUGAAUUCUCAUAAAGUCACUGCUCUAGCUAUGGUCGUCUUACUCGUCGUGCCAUUUCUAAACGCAGCCACAGCGCAAAUGAAUACCACAGAAAUGCCAAUGGCAGCACCAAAACCGUCCGCAGGACCAGUCGAGGUGGUGUCGACUUCAGCGGGCACAACAGGCAUGAGAAGUGAUUCAACGGCUACAUACAUAGAUCAGCACGAUAACGGAAACAUGUCAACCACAAUAAUGGCUACAUAUGCAACACUAGCUUCCAGUCUGCAUCUAUUGGCAUUCCUUGGUUACCUAAUCUGGAAUCAUGGAUGGUGUCGGAAAAUGUUUUGUAGGGACGACGGAGCGAAUGCCGCGGAUAUUGAAAUGCAUUAGCAAGCAUGCUAUGCGUCUCGGCCACCAUCUUAUGGGAAAGCUGGUGUGCCUGUUUACCGUUGCCAUGCCAAUGCCCUGUAAGGCUGUGUACUCGAAGACUGUUUGAACACUGGCCAUCAUACAUGUAACUACAACUACGAACUGCCCUGCGUACAGUGAAGCUACUAGCACUCGGACGACCACAUCUUCGUGCAAGGCUGCUGUUGCUGGCAAAGCAACCAUGGUUAUUGAGGUUGUUUGUAGAUGCGGACAUUAUUAACAAAGUAACUACUAAAACAUGACUUGCAUACUUACUUUACCAGGAAAACUCUUUUUUGAACAGUUCUCUGUUGCAGUUCUUUCACUAGCUCGCACCACAUCGUCUUAUGGUCUCAUCUUUGUUGCAUGCAAUCAUUUUAAGCACUCAUUGUAGUCCUGGUGAUCAUUGUACACUAACUUGAGGAGCUGCCUGGUUAUGAUAACGUUAGCAUUGUUCCUUUGUUUGUUGUGUUUUUUUGGUGUUUGUGGUGUUUUUUUUGUGGUGUUUUUUUGGUGUUUGUGGUGUUAUUGUACACUAACUUGAGGAGCUGCCUGGUUAUGGUAGCAUUGUUCCUUUGUUUGUGGUGUUUUUUGGUGUGUUUUGUGGUGUUUUUUUUGUGGUGUUUUUUGUUUUGUCCUAGUUAUCUAGUCAGCUCAGUUCUCAGUUCUGCAGAGCCCAUACAUGUAUGUAUCCUGAGAUAAGGUUUAUAUUCAUUGCUGUAGUCACGUUUGUUUGUUUGUGCUUUUAUUUAUUAUAGUCGUUCAACCAAACAGACAAUGGUGCCUUCUCACAAGGA